UGUAUAUCAAAAAAAAAAAAAUUAUUUAUAAUAGUAAGCGGAGAUGAACUUAGUAAUAACAAAAAUAACAGUGAGAAAAUAAAAAAUGACAAACCUCAUGACCCUAUUUACGCAUGUCACGGCGAAGAACUAUAUUCUCUCCAAGUCUGCAACCAUCCCUACAUACACCCUCCUCAUCACACUUUAUUAACUUUACCAUACCCACCAACCAAUUACAGUACUUUUACUUUCUUUUGCUCCCUCGAAUCAAUGAUGAACAAUAAUCAACGUUCACCUGCAAAAAUUCGAAACCCCAUUAUCUCCGAGAGUGUAAAAGUAAAAACUAAAAGCAACCACUAA